rnacentral:rRNA from 1 species
GACGAACGCUGGCGGCGUGCUUAACACAUGCAAGUCGAACGGAAAGGCCCUGCUUUUGUGGGGUGCUCGAGUGGCGAACGGGUGCGUAACACGUGAGUAACCUGCCCUUGACUUUGGGAUAACUUCAGGAAACUGGGGCUACUACCGGAUAGGAGCUCCUGCUGCAUGGUGGGGGUUGGAAAUUUUCGGCGGUUGGGGAUGGACUCGCGGCUUAUCAGCUUGUUGGUGGGGUAGUGGCUUACCAAGGCUUUGACGGGUAGCCGGCCUGAGAGGGUGACCGGCCACAUUGGGACUGAGAGACGGCCCAGACUCGUACGGGAGGCAGCAGUGGGGAAUAUGGCACAAUGGGCGGAAGCCUGAUGCAGAAACGCCGCGUGCGGGAUGACGGCCUUCGGGUUGUAAACCGCUUUCGCCUGUGACGAAGCGGGAGUGACGGUAAUGGGUAAAGAAGCACCGGCUAACUACGUG